GAGGGAUGGCCGAGUGGUUGAUGGCGCUGGUCUUGAAAACCAGUGAUGCUGAAAGGCACCGGGGGUUCGAAUCCCUCUCUCUCC
rnacentral:tRNA from 1 species